GUUCCUACGGGGGGCAGCAGUGGGGAAUCUUAGACAAUGGGGGAAACCCUGAUCUAGCCAUGCCGCGUGAGCGAUGAAGGCCUUAGGGUUGUAAAGCUCUUUCAGUGGGGAAGAUAAUGACGGUACCCACAGAAGAAGCCCCGGCUAACUCCGUGCCAGCAGCCGCGGUAAUACGGAGGGGGCUAGCGUUGUUCGGAAUUACUGGGCGUAAAGCGCACGUAGGCGGACUGGAAAGUCAGGGGUGAAAUCCCGGGGCUCAACCCCGGAACUGCCUUUGAAACUCCCGGUCUUGAGGUCGAGAGAGGUGAGUGGAAUUCCGAGUGUAGAGGUGAAAUUCGUAGAUAUUCGGAGGAACACCAGUGGCGAAGGCGGCUCACUGGCUCGAUACUGACGCUGAGGUGCGAAAGCGUGGGGAGCAAACAGGAUUAGCUACCCCAGUAGUCGCA
rnacentral:rRNA from 1 species